rnacentral:tRNA from 1 species
UGCUCAGUUGGUAGAGCAAUGGACUGAAAAUCCAUGUGUCGGCGGUUCUGCCAAAGGCAUACCUAUGGGAAAUUCCGUUUCUGCCCA